GCCAGACUCCUACGGGAGGCAGCAGUGGGGGAUAUUGCACAAUGGGGGGAACCCUGAUGCAGCGACGCCGCGUGGGUGAAGGAGCGUUUCGGCGCGUAAAGCCCUAUCGGCAGGGAAGAAGCAAGACGGUACCUGACUAAGAAGCCCCGGCUAACUACGUGCCAGCAGCCGCGGUAAUACGUAGGGGGCGAGCGUUAUCCGGAUUCACUGGGUGUAAAGGGAGCGUAGACGGCCAUGCAAGCCAGGGGUGAAAGCCCGGGGCCCAACCCCGGGACUGCCCUUGGAACUGCAUGGCUGGAGUGCGGGAGGGGCAGGCGGAAUUCCUGGUGUAGCGGUGAAAUGCGUAGAUAUAAGGAAGAACACCAGUGGCGAAGGCGGAUUACUGGACGAUAACUGACGGUGAGGCGCGAAAGCGUGGGGAGCAAACAGGAUUAGAUACCCGCGUA
rnacentral:rRNA from 1 species